rnacentral:lncRNA from 1 species
GCAAAAAUCUCCGGCUGCACAGAGAUUGCAUGGUGGUGCAUCACGACCCUGUGCUGUUUUCCAGAGAGGUAUGCUGGACGGGACCAUAACAGCUGCAAACUCUCCCAGAGGGGGUUCCUAAACUUCAUGAACACUGUACUGGUUGCCUUCACAAAGAACCAGAAGGGCUCUGGUGCCCUUGACUGCAUGAUGAAGAAACUGGACUUCAACUGUGAUGGGCAGGCUAGAUUUUCAGGACUUUCUCAGUCUUACUGAUGGUGUAGCUGUGGCUUGCCCUGACUCCUUCAUCCCGGCUGGC